AGUGAACGCUGGCGGCGUGCCUAAUACAUGCAAGUCGAACGGAGUGGCGCACGGGUGAGUAAUAUAUAGCUAAUCUGCCCCUUGCUGGAGGACAACCGUUAGAAAUGACUACUAAUACUCCAUAGCAAGGGAUGAGACUAUAUCGUAUCAGCUAGUCGGUGGGGUAACGGCCUACCGAGGCUAUGCCGCGUAAAUGGUCUGAGAGGAUGAGCAGUGACAUUGGAACGGAGACACGGUAGAAACUCCUACGGGAGGCAGCAGUAGGUAAUAGUGCGCAACGGGGGAAGCCAGGACGCAGCACCGCCGCGUGGAGGAUGACACUUGUCGGAGCGGAUACUACGUUUGUUAGGGAAGCGGUACCUAACGAAUAAGCGCCGGCUAACUCCGUGCCAGCAGCCGCGGUAAUAC
rnacentral:rRNA from 1 species